GGGGCUCCUGCGUCGGGCCGGGGACUUCAUCCGGAACCAGGUGGAUUUCUCCUUCCUCACCCGGGCUCUGCCCCAGCUCCUGGGCAAGAUCUACAGGCACCUCUUCCCUGCCCGUGUCCGUAGGGACGCCCCAGGUACCCACCCGCCCCGGCUGUGCCACCCCGUGGCCCUGUGGGGACGCGCCACCCUCGUGCUGGUGGCUCAGGCACCCCUACGCCGUGUCCCUCCUGUCCCCUUCUUGUCCCCACAGACGUGGCUGUGGGAGGGGGGCAGCCUAACCCCAAAGCAGAGGGACCCUGGAGACCCCCCACCAGGUAAAGGGGGACGCAAGGGCAUGGUGGGUUAUGGGGGCUGUAGGUUUUGGGGAGGCGAGCGAGAUACCCAUGGGCACUGAUAGGGCUUUUUGGGGACAGCUCAAGGCAUUGGGGUCCUGCUCUUCCCAUAACCAGGUCCCAACAGGGGUGUACGGGGGGUGGCAGUGCCCAAGGGAUGGGUGCCUGGCUGAGCUGUCCCCGCUGUGCUUGCAGGCAGGGGGCCGGGCAGCCGCCCCCAUUUGCGGGGCUCUUUGGGGCCGUGGGGCCCCAGCUGCAGGACUGGGUGCAGGCGCUGAGGGCUAUGGAUGGGGGCAGCCCCCUGGAACCCACCCCAGAUGGGCAGCGGCUCCCCGGGGAGACGUGGCUCUUCUUGCAGCAGGGUGAGGAGGAGGUGGAGGAGCUGGUGGGACAGGGCAGAGCUUUCCUCGCCCAGCUCCGGGCAGAGCUGGACCUCGACACCCCCCUGGAAGCCACGCAGCAGCAGCAGGCACCCGGAGAGCCAUCGGGGACCCCGACACCAAACCGGUUGGUGCCGAGGGAGAAACGUGAGCUGGUGCCCACACAGCCUGGGCUGGAGGAGGAGGAGGAAGAAGAGGAAGAGGAGGAAGAGGAGGAGGAGGCAGGUGAGGGAAGAGGUAAGCACCCCCCAGCCCCCAGGUGCUGCGGGAUGCCACCGGGAUGCCGGAGAUGGCAAACCCAGCCUGGGCUUUGCACCCUGGGGCUGGUGACAGCGCGGUGCCCCCACCCACCCCCUGACCCUAUUUCCAUCUCUCUCCUGUCCCCCCCCCGGGGGCUUGCAGCCUGCCCUGGCCUCAACGCCUCGGCGCUGCGGGUGGGCGCGGUGCAGGAGCUUUACGCCUGGGUGCUGCGGGUGCCGGAGCCGGACCUGGCCAUGACCUUCCAGGAGGUGCGUGGGGCAGCCACCCCCCCCGGCGC
rnacentral:lncRNA from 1 species